GACGAACGCUGGCGGCGUGCUUAACACAUGCAAGUCGAACGGAAAGGCCCUGCUUUUGUGGGGUGCUCGAGUGGCGAACGGGUGAGUAACACGUGAGUAACCUGCCCUUGACUUUGGGAUAACUUCAGGAAACUGGGGCUAAUACCGGAUAGGAGCUCCUGCUGCAUGGGGGGGGUUGGAAAGUUUCGGCGGUUGGGGAUGGACGCGCGGCUUAUCAGCUUGUUGGUGGGGUAGUGGCUUACCAAGGCUUUGACGGGUAGCCGGCCUGAGAGGGUGACCGGCCACAUUGGGACUGAGAUACGGCCCAGACUCCUACGGGAGGCAGCAGUGGGGAAUAUUGCACAAUGGACGGAAGCCUGAUGCAGCAACGCCGCGUGCGGGAUGACGGCCUUCGGGUUGUAAACCGCUUUCGCCUGUGACGAAGCGUGGGUGACGGUAAUGGGUAAAGAAGCACCGGCUAACUACGUG
rnacentral:rRNA from 1 species